CGGUUGAUCCUGCCGGACCCGACUGCUAUUUGGGUGAGGAUAAGCCAUGCGAGUUGCAUGGGAUACCUAAAUUUCCCAUGGCAAACUGCUCAGUAACACAUGAUCAACUUGCCCUAUAGAGAAAAAUAACCUCGGGAAACUGAGGAUAAUGUUUCAUAGUUGAAAAGGCUUGGAAAAGUUUUUCAAUAAAAGGGAUAAAAAAAAAUGGGUUUUUAUCCGCUAUAGGAUAGGAUCGUGUUCGAUUAUGGUCGUUGGUGAGGUAAUGGCUCACCAAGCCGAUAAUCGAUAGGGGCCGUGAGAGCGGGAGCCCCGAGAUGGGUACUGAGACAGCGACCCAGGCCUUACAAGGCGCAGCAGGCGCGAAACCUCCACAAUACACGAAAGUGUGAUGGGGUUACCCAAAGUGUUCUAUUAAGAACUGUGGUAGGUGAGUAAUGUUCCCUACUAGAAAGGAGAGGGCAAGGCUGGUGCCAGCCGCCGCGGUAAAACCAGCUCUUCAAGUGGUCGGGAUAAUUAUUGGGCUUAAAGUGUCCGUAGCCGGUUUAGUAAGUUCCUGGUAAAAUCGGGUAGCUUAACUAUCCGCAUGCUAGGAAUACUGCUAUACUAGAGGGCGGGAGAGGUCUGAGGUACUACAGGGGUAGGGGUGAAAUCUUAUAAUCCUUGUAGGACCACCAGUGGCGAAGGCGUCAGACUGUAACGCGCCUGACGGUGAGGGACGAAAGCCAGGGAGCGAACCGGAUUAGAUACCCGGGUAGUCCUGGCCGUAAACGAUGCAUACUAGGUGAUGGCACGGCCAUGAGCCGUGUCAGUGCCGGAGGGAAACCGUUAAGUGUGCCGCCUGGGAAGUACGGUCGCAAGGCUAAAACUUAAAGGAAUUGGCGGGGGAGCAC
rnacentral:rRNA from 1 species